CCUACGGGAGGCAGCAGUGAGGAAUAUUGGUCAAUGGACGAGAGUCUGAACCAGCCAAGUAGCGUGAAGGAUGACUGCCCUAUGGGUUGUAAACUUCUUUUAUAUGGGAAUAAAAUGUUCCACGUGUGGGAUUUUGUAUGUACCAUAUGAAUAAGGAUCGGCUAACUCCGUGCCAGCAGCCGCGGUAAUACGGAGGAUCCGAGCGUUAUCCGGAUUUAUUGGGUUUAAAGGGAGCGUAGGUGGAUUGUUAAGUCAGUUGUGAAAGUUUGCGGCUCAACCGUAAAAUUGCAGUUGAAACUGGCAGUCUUGAGUACAGUAGAGGUGAGCGGAAUUCGUGGUGUAGCGGUGAAAUGCUUAGAUAUCACGAAGAACUCCGAUUGCGAAGGCAGUUCACUGGACUGCAACUGACGCUGAGGCUCGAAAGUGUGGGUAUCAAACAGGAUUAGAUACCCUUGUAGUC
rnacentral:rRNA from 1 species